rnacentral:lncRNA from 1 species
ACUUCCGCGUUUCUGGCGCGUGGUCUUGCAUUUCCUACUUGGUCCUGUUCGUGGCGCCGCGCCUCCGGGUGUUGGGGAGUCCGGGAUGAUGGGGAAUCCGGGGCUCGCCCUAGUCGCGGGGACACCGCCUUCCAGGAGCUGUCCCCAGGCAAACUCACAGACAUCUUCAAAGAGCCUUCUUGGACAUUCUGCUUUUUGCUCCUCAUAACAGGCUUCGAUGGAGUUUCUCUCUUAUUUUCCAGGCUGCAGUACAGUGGCGUGAUCUCGGCUCACUGCAACCUCCACCUCCCAGGUUCAAGCGAUUCUCCUGUCUUAGCCUCACGAGUAGCCGGGAUUACAGGCACAUGCCCCCAUUCCCAGCUAAUUUUUGUAUUUUUAGUAGUGACGGGGUUUCAUCAUAUUGGUCAGGCUGGUCUCAAACUCCUGACCUCAGGUGAUCCGCCUCGGCCUCCCAAAGUGUUGGGAUUACAGGCGUGAGCCACCCACUGUAUCUCUUGUUCGGAGGAAUAUCUAAUCAAGAAAAUCAUUUUUACUGUUUUUAUUUUUUGGUUUGUUCGUUUUUUUCCUGUGAGAUGGAGUUUCACUCUUGUUGCCCAUCCUGGUGUACAAUGGCGCGAUCUCGGCUCACUUCAACCUCCGCCUCCCAGUGCGUCCGGAAUUGGUGGGUUCUUGGUCUCACUGACUUCAAGAAUGAAGCUGCGCACCCUCACGAGACAGAGGUCUCCCUAUGUUGUCCAGGCUGCUCUUGAUCUCCGGGGCCCAAGUGAUCCUUCUGCCUCAGCCUAAUGAGUCGCUAGGGCUACAGGCUCAUGUCACCUCACCUGGCUUAUUCUCUUUCUUUCUUGUUUUUCUGAAACAGGGUCUCACCGUGUUGCCCAGGUUGCAGUGCAGUGGCACGAUCAUGGCUCACUGAAGCCUCAAUCUCCCCAGGCUCAGUGAUCCUCCUACCUCAUCUUCCCAUGUAGCUGGGAUUACUGGUACACGCCACCACACCUGGCUAAUUUUUUGUAUUUUU